rnacentral:rRNA from 1 species
GACGUAGGGUGCGAGCGUUGUCCGGAUUUAUUGGGCGUAAAGAGCUCGUAGGCGGCUUGUCGCGUCGACUGUGAAAACCCGCAGCUCAACUGCGGGCCUGCAGUCGAUACGGGCAGGCUAGAGUUCGGUAGGGGAGACUGGAAUUCCUGGUGUAGCGGUGAAAUGCGCAGAUAUCAGGAGGAACACCGAUGGCGAAGGCAGGUCUCUGGGCCGAUACUGACGCUGAGGAGCGAAAGCGUGGGGAGCGAACAGG